CAACAAGAAGCUGAAAGAAAUUCAAGCCCAAAGAUUGCUGAGAUUCUGUCUUAAAGGCAACUGUCUGUGACAUCAUAGCGGUCCAUAAAAAGGUCCAGCAAGUAGAUGGCAAGGUGCCGAGCUGUGGGACAAAGUUGGCAACGGCUGCUGAGGACAGUAAGGAGGGUGCAGAACGGGACACACUACUCCAAUGGAAUCUGACCAGGCACUAUAAAGUUGGAAACAUUACUUCUCCCAAUCUGGUUUCCAGGCUCCUGUUAAUGUACCCCACAAUA